UUAGUUACUGAUUCUAGGGAACAAUUGGGUAGAAAGAGAUGGACUCCCUGUGUUUGAAAUUCAGAACUCAAGCUUGGCUCUAAGUGUUUCCUUGCUUUGCUGUGCUCCAGGGGAGUCCUUGAGCAGAAGGAAGCAAGUUGCCUGAGAUUCUUCAAAGCCCGCAGCCCUUUUGGAGGUUAGAUGGUUAUUCUCAGAGCCUUUAUGAUGCAUAAUAAAGACCUAGCUUGGACCAAUAUUAGGAUGAGUUAUCUUGCUAUUAACAUUCUUUUAGGUAGAAGUUGCUGGUCCCAUCUUGCUCACAAUCCUCCAAAGUUUGAAAGUUAUUUUCCAGGAGACUUGGCUUGCACUGAGAGCUGCCCUCCCACCCUCUCUCCAAAUUUCCUCUUGGGGGUAGCCUAACAAGGUGCUGUCACAGACCCUUGUCGGCCACGAUGACCCCACCCAGACCAUCCCUCUGCUGUUUCACUCUUUGAUAGUCUCUGGAGCUCUCUGGGGAGGGGUGAGACCUGCCGUCUAGUUUGUAUGGUUUGCCCAGGUCUUACAGUCAUGGCUGGCUGCCUCUCUCUGAGAACUAGAACUCCUGAACUUGGUGAAAGACCUCAGCCAUCGAUCAUGUUGAAUUAUCGGGGACACUCAUUUGAAAUCCGAGCCUGUUCCAGAUAGACUCUCUCUCUUUCUGCCCUGACCGUGAGAGAAGCCCUGCUGGACGGUGGAGACACUCGUGGGCUGUGAGCAAGGGAUGCAAAGGCUGCCGGGAAUCCCAUCUUUCCAGCAUCAUCUGCCAAGGCACAUUAGUUCCUGGGUAUCUGGAUGGGUUCUAGCAGCAUUACUGUCAUUGAAGGAAAAAUUUUAGCCAUAUUAAAGGUUAAUGCAGCAAUCUCCACAUAGGCUGCCUGGAAGGGAAGCAGGACAAGGUUAGGUUUUCCUUGUGAUGGACAGGAGGCAGGCGGCCCUCCCACAGCCCUGCCUGGCAAUACAGAUGUGUCCCCAAAAGGCACUGGGGGCCAGCUGGAGUGCUAUGCCGAGGCGGACUGACCCGGGCCGUGGGUUCACUCUGCUGGCAGCGGUUUCCCGCCAGCUCCUUGCAGAGUUGGCAGAUGGCCCAGCCCCACAGCAGGAGCCGGGAAUGGCAGAACGAGACACAACAAUUUGAUAUCCACUUGCCAGAUGAGCCGGGUGUCAUCAGUCGCCUGGCUCUAUGCCCAACCUCUUUUUGCAUAAACACUUAUGGAUUCAGCCAAGAGGAAAAGCACUCUGAUUAUGAAUUGAGCAGAAGGAAACAAAGUUCUGCAGAUAAACACCAAUGAAACAAAAAACCACGAAUAAGAAAAAUGACAGAAAAGGAGAACCUUCCCAGAAUCCUCCUGCCAGUGAACGGUCACCAGAGCAAGAGCAUGGAGUCCCUGGGUUUUGAACUGUGAGAUAAGGAAGAUGAUGAAAACCUCCCUAGCAGCCAGCCAGGUACUAUUCUAGAUUGUCUUGUGAUAUUUACAAUCUAGGAGAAGGCAGGAGAGAGAACUAAGAACAGAGAGCAUGUUCUGAGAUGUCUGCUGUGUUUGCAGACUUAGAUUUUUGGCUGGACUAUUGGCUUGGGAUAGAUGAAAAUCAUUCCUUGUAUCCCCUGAUCUUAAAGUCAAGACUGAACCAGCCUCCAGAUGCAAGCCUUCAUGGGGCUUCAGAUACCAUGAGGAAUGGGCGUCCCUGCAAUAUUGUCAUGGCUGUCAAAAGUGUUAUUGGAGCUGGACGUGAGGCUUCUCCCCAGCACCAGCAUUCCAUGAAGGCAGCCCUUUUCUAGAUGGAGAAAACAGAACCUGAAGGCACCCGUUUCCCUAAACUGCUCUCACUCAUGUGUAAGUACAAAUGAAAAAUGCUGACGCUGGUUCUACAGGGCCUGGAGCUGAUACGAAAAACCUCCCUUCUUUCCCAAAUGGUCCCCAGCUUCCCCGUUCACUGAAGGCCCUGCAGUCGGGAACAGUCAGGACUUUGCACCCAGUUGUUGUGGGUGUUUGGCCAACCCUUCCUCUUGUGUGAUUCAUGGACCUGCAGCAUUGCGUCACCUGUGAGCUUUUGGAAUUGAAGACUCUCAGGGCUCACCCGGGAGGACCUGCUGGGCCAGAAUCUGCAUUUUAACAAGAUGCCUGGGUGAUCUGCAUACACGUUCAGAUCUGAGAAGUGCUGGUAGGAGAGGCUUUAAGGUGGUAAUUAGAUCUUUUCUCCACCUACAAGAAUCUUAGUUUCUUCAUGUUAAAUCUAUUAACUGUGGCAAUGGCAUGGGGGUUAUAAAACAAAACAAAACAAAACCCUUACAUCAAGAAUGCACCCUGGUGUGUUAUGGAUGUGGGUGAAAUGAAAUGUCUGGAAUUUGCUUUAAAAUAUUGUAAAAUAGCAAGAAGGAAAAGAAAAGCGGGAACUGGAAUGAGGAAUGACGGACGCUGGGGCUUUGAUGGGCACCGGGUGAAAUGGGCAGAGUGGCGCUUACCCGGGAUGGCGGUGAAGCGGGACCGGGAGGUCAUCGUGACAAAGGGUGGCAUGAGGUACCUGGCCUUGACGCCCUCCCCGGCUAGACGGUCCAGAUUGGGGGUG
rnacentral:lncRNA from 1 species